rnacentral:rRNA from 1 species
AACGAACGCUGGCGGCAUGCCUAACACAUGCAAGUCGAACGAGACCUUCGGGUCUAGUGGCGCACGGGUGCGUAACGCGUGGGAAUCUGCCCUUGGGUUCGGAAUAACAGUUAGAAAUGACUGCUAAUACCGGAUAAUGACGUAAGUCCAAAGAUUUAUCGCCCAAGGAUGAGCCCGCGUAGGAUUAGCUUGUUGGUGAGGUAAAGGCUCACCAAGGCGACGAUCCUUAGCUGGUCUGAGAGGAUGAUCAGCCACACUGGGACUGAGACACGGCCCAGACUCCUACGGGAGGCAGCGGUGGGGAAUAUGGGACAAUGGGCGAAAGCCUGAUCAAGCAAUGCCGCGUGAGUGAGGAAGGCAUUAGGGUUGUAAAGCUCUUUUACCCGGGAUGAUAAUGACAGUACCGGGAGAAAAAGCCCCGGCUAACUCCGUGCCAGCCGCCGCGGUAAGAC